ACGCUCGACACCUACGGGAGCAGCAGUGGGGAAUAUUGCACAAUGGGGGAAACCCUGAUGCAGCGACGCCGCGUGAGCGAAGAAGUAUUUCGGUAUGUAAAGCUCUAUCAGCAGGGAAGAAAAUGACGGUACCUGACUAAGAAGCACCGGCUAAAUACGUGCCAGUAGCCGCGGUAAUCUGAGCGGGCUGGCAAGGC
rnacentral:rRNA from 1 species